rnacentral:lncRNA from 1 species
UUUGGGUUUUUGGGGUCGGUUUUUGUGGUUUUGGGGUUUUCGGGGUCGGUUUUCGUGUUUUUGGGGUUUUCGGGGUCGGUUUUGGGGUUUUUGGGGUUUUUGGGGUCGGUUUUCGUGUUUUUGUGGUCGGUUUUUGUGUUUUCGGGGUUUCUGGGGUCGGUUUUUGUGUUUCUGGGGUCGGUUUUUGGGGUUUUCGGGGUCGGUUUUCGUGUUUUCGGGGUUUUUGGGGUCGGUUUUUGGGUUUUCGGGGUCGGUUUUCGUGUUUUCGGGGUUUUUGGGGUCGGUUUUUGUGUUUUCGGGGUUUCUGGGGUCGGUUUUUGGGUUUUUGGGGUCGGUUUUUGUGUUUUCGUGUUUCUGGGGUCGGUUUUUGUGUUUCUGGGGUCGGUUUUCGUGUUUCUGGGGUCGGUUUUUGGGUUUUUGGGGUCGGUUUUCGUGUUUCUGGGGUCGGUUUUCGUGUUUCUGGGGUCGGUUUCUGGGCCCUCCACACCUGAACCUGUCCGGGUCGGGGCGCAGGCAGCAGCUGUCGGAGGAGGAGCUGGGGCGCAUCGAGGACGCGUGCGACAUGGCGCUGGCGCUCAGCGGCGCCAAGCUGCGCAUCUACGAGUACGUGGAGUCCCGCAUGUCCUUCAUCGCCCCCAACCUCUCC